rnacentral:lncRNA from 1 species
CGUUGAUGUCCGUUAGACGUCCGUUCUUAUCCGUUAGGCGUCCGUCCAUAUCCGUUGCGUGUCCGUUAAGCGUCCGUUUUAUCCGUUGACGUCCGUUCUGUCCGUGGAAAAUUUUGAGCAUGUUCAAAACUUUGAACGGACGUCCAACGGAUAAAAUGUCCGUUGAACGUCCGUUAGGCGUCCGUUAGGCGUCCGUUUUGUACGGUACUCGUCCGUUUUGUAUCCGUUAUGCAUCCGUUGGAGAUCCGGUAGACCAAUUCACCAACGAACGUCUACCGGACGCCUAACGGACGCCGAACGGAUAAAACGGAUGUGAAACAGACAUUAACGGAAGGAUAACGGUUAAAACGGAUGCCUACUGAUAGUUUAUUCUCUUAAAACCAUGCAAGUACAAAGGUUACAGAGAAGUUGAAAAAUAAUAUACAUAAAAAAAACAAAAUAUGCAUUAGAAAUGCAUAAAAUUCAAAAAUACUAGAUGUAAAACGGACAAAUGUCAAUUGAAAUUUCGCGUCAGAAAUGCCAAUGUAUGGUAUGUUAGAUUUUCUUGAGUGUCAUGAUUAUUUAUUAUUCGUGAUGGAUCUUGGAGUAAGAGCAUGUCUUCGCUACCAAGCAGCUCUUAUUCGGGCCAGACUCAACUUAAAUGUAGCAAAUAUAAACCUUAUAGCUGUCGAAAGGAGAAGAAGGAGAAGACAAAGGAGAUGGUGGACACGACCAUGGCUCAGUCCUGAAAGACGACGCAGUUUUGGUCUCAUGACCGAACUUAGGCGGGAGGAUCGGCAUUCCUUUGUACACUUCCUUGAAAUGCCCACAGAGAUGUUCGACGAGAUGGUGCAGCGGGUUAGGCCUCGCAAAGCCAAGCAGAAUACCUUUUACAGAAAUCCGCUGGAACCAGGACUCAAGUAAGCAAUUACACUUAGACACCUUGCUUCUGGAGCAAAAUAUCGUAGCAUGCAGUACGGAUGGAGAGUUCCGCAUAACACCACAUCCGUUUUCAUACCAGAGGUACAUAAUAUAAACAAAUUCAGAAAAUCAACUUAAACUCUAUAAGACUGAAAUACCACACUACUUCUACCUUGAUUUUUUUUAAUCAGAGGAGCUUUAUGUUUGCACAAAUAUCAUGCUAAACAAGACGUAAUACAAAAUAAAAUCAACUAAACCAGUUAACUCAAAAAGUGACCCUCGUGUGAAG